AACGAACGCUGGCGGCAGGCUUAACACAUGCAAGUCGAGCGCCCCGCAAGGGGAGCGGCAGACGGGUGAGUAACGCGUGGGAAUCUACCCAUCUCUACGGAAUAACGCAUGGAAACGUGUGCUAAUACCGUAUACGUCCUUCGGGAGAAAGAUUUAUCGGAGAUGGAUGAGCCCGCGUUGGAUUAGCUAGUGGGUGGGGUAAAGGCCUACCAAGGCGACGAUCCAUAGCUGGUCUGAGAGGAUGAUCAGCCACACUGGGACUGAGACGCGGCCCAGACUCCUACGGGAGGCAGCAGUGGGGAAUAUUGGACAAUGGGCGCAAGCCUGAUCCAGCCAUGCCGCGUGAGUGAUGAAGGCCCUAGGGUUGUAAAGCUCUUUCACCGGUGAAGAUAAUGACGGUAACCGGAGAAGAAGCCCCGGCUAACUUCGUGCCAGCCGCCGCCGUAAUAC
rnacentral:rRNA from 1 species